UACGUAGGGGCGAGCGUUGUCCGGAAUCAUUGGGCGUAAAGCGCGUGUAGGCGGCCCGGUAAGUCCGCUGUGAAAGUCCAGGGCUCAACCCUGGGAUGCCGGUGGAUACUGUCGGGCUCGAGUACGGAAGAGGCGAGUGGAAUUCCCGGUGUAGCGGUGAAAUGCGCAGAUAUCGGGAGGAACACCAAUGGCGAAGGCAGCUCGCUGGGACGUUACUGACGCUGAGACGCGAAAGCGUGGGGAGCAAACAGG
rnacentral:rRNA from 1 species